rnacentral:ncRNA from 2 species
AUACGUGCGAUAGACUUGGGUAAGGGAAAAGGGUGCAAAACCCUUGCGGUCCCGCCGCUGUAAGUGGGGACGAAACUCACGGGUAGCCACUGGCUUAGGAUGCGUUACACGUCCAGGCCGGGAAGGCGUGAGAAGUAGGACGAACCACAAGCCAGAAGACCUGCCCGGGUCCAGAUUAACCG